GGGGCAGUGCUGGAAGUGGUAUACGGGAUGGUCUUAAAAAUCAUUGUCCUAUGUGACGUGAGGGUUCGAAUCCCUCCUGCCCCACCA
rnacentral:tRNA from 1 species